rnacentral:rRNA from 1 species
UGAGGAAUUAUGCGCAAUGGACGAAAGUCUGACGCUGCGACGUCGCGUGGGUGAUGAAGGUCUUCGGAUCGUAAAAACCCUGUCGAGAGGGAAGAAAGAGCGGGCGCUAAUAUCGCCUACUUCUGACGGUACCUCUGGAGGAAGCCCCGGCUAACUCUGUGCCAGCAGCCGCGGUAAUACAGAGGGGGGCAAGCGUUGUUCGGAAUUACUGGGCGUAAAGCGCGCGUAGGCGGUCGUAUAAGUCGGAUGUGAAAGCCCUUGGCUCAACCAAGGAACUGCGUCCGAUACUGUACGGCUUGAGGCUGGUAGGGGGUAGCGGAAUUCCCGGUGUAGCGGUGGAAUGCGUAGAUAUCGGGAGGAACACCGAUGGCGAAAGCGGCUACCUGGGCCAGAUCUGACGCUGAGGCGCGAAAGCUAGGGGAGCAAACAGGAUUAGAUACCCCAGUAGUCCCUGAGCGGGCUGGCAAGGCGCAU